rnacentral:rRNA from 1 species
GACGAACGCUGGCGGCGUGCCUAAUACAUGCAAGUAGAACGCUGAAGGAGGAGCUUGCUCUUCUGGAUGAGUUGCGAACGGGUGAGUAACGCGUAGGUAACCUGCCUGGUAGCGGGGGAUAACUAUUGGAAACGAUAGCUAAUACCGCAUAACAGUAGAUGUUGCAUGACAUUUGCUUAAAAGGUGCAAUUGCAUCACUACCAGAUGGACCUGCGUUGUAUUAGCUAGUUGGUGGGGUAACGGCUCACCAAGGCGACGAUACAUAGCCGACCUGAGAGGGUGAUCGGCCACACUGGGACGGAGACACGGCCCAGACUCCUACGGGAGGCAGCAGUAGGGAAUCUUCGGCAAUGGACGGAAGUCUGACCGAGCAACGCCGCGUGAGUGAAGAAGGUUUUCGGAUCGUAAAGCUCUGUUGUAAGAGAAGAACGAGUGUGAGAGUGGAAAGUUCACACUGUGACGGUAUCUUACCAGAAAGGGACGGCUAACUACGUG